GCGCGCACCCGGUAGCUCCUCAGUCUGGGCAGCGGGACCGGUUGGCGGAGGCCCGGCCCCCAGAGGUGCCGGGGGAGGAGCCCGAGCCGCCGCCGCCGAGUUCGCGGCCGUCGCGGUAGGGGAGCAUGUCUGCAAGUCGAGCCAAGAAAGUGAAGAUGGCCACCAAAUCGUGCCCCGAAUGCGACCAACAGGUUCCUGUUGCAUGUAAAUCUUGUUCUUGUGGUUAUUUAUUUAUUAAUAGAAAGUAUGUACAAAUAAAAAAUUCAGAGAAAUCAUCACCUUUUAAAGAAGUGAACAGUACCAUAUCUUUGAAAGAUUUGCGAAUACUUUUUUUGUAUGAAUUUAAACUAGGACAUAGUGCAGCCAUGGCAAGUAGAAACAUCAUUUCUGUCUUUGGAGAAGGCUCUGUCAGUGAAAGGACUAUCCGGUGGUGGUUUGAAAAAUUUCGUUCUGGGGACCUGAGUCUGAAAAACGAGCCUCGAGGGAGACCCAGGUCUGUGUUAAAUGAAGAUCAGUUGAGAGCCAGGGUAGAGGCUAACCCCAAAGCAGCGAUCCGAGGCCUGGCGGCAGACUUAGGAGUUUCUGCUACGACGGUUUCUCGACACCUGGCUGCCAUAGGGAAGGUGAAACAGUUGGACAGGUGGGUGACACCGGUUGAUGGGUGAUCACAAAGCGCAUGGUUGGAGAUAUGCCCGUCCCUUAAGAUUGGACAGAGCAGAGGCCUUGUGAGAGCAUCAUAAGCUGUGACAAAAAAUGAAAUGGAAAGUGACCUGGACAAGGGUUGGAUGUUGAUGAAGUUCCCAAACAUGUUCAGCCAUCAUUCAGCCAAAAGAGGAUCUGAUGCUCCCUGUUGGCGGUGUGCAAAAAAGCUAUUUCAUUAUUGCUUUUUAACCCAAACCGCUUUUACUGCUCUAAAGCUAUCAGUAGCAUUGUCAAGAAGCUGAAACCAUGUAUCCAGACCGCUCUAAAACCGCGGCGUGGGCCAGGACAUGAGGACCUGCACUUCCAGCGACGGCGGUCGGCCGCAGACGUCACAGCCCGGCGUGCGGGCGGUGACGGAACUGGGCGAGGACAUGCUGCACGCCUCUCCUCCUUUUCCCAGGAAAGACAGGACAGCUGUAAAAGUCUCCUUGAUAGGAACCUUGGUUUGAUUAUCAAAAUAAGGGACAGGAGGCGGAGGCUGCUACAGCUCACCCCCCCAAAACUCUGCUCAGCUCCCUGAGAUAGCUUGGGUCCUAAUUAUAAAAAGGAAUAAGUGGACGCACAGUGCCAUAUACAGAUCAUGUGUCAUAGAAAUCUACACUUGAAACCUAUAUAAUCUUGUUAACCAGUAUCAGCCCAAUAAACGUAAUUAAAUUAUUUUUUAAAAAGUGGUUUUGAAUAGUCAUUUUGGUUUAUCAAGUACACAAUACCUGUUACUUAGGAAGCUCCCGCCUGGCCUAAUUGCUUAUUGUGAAACCGGGGCAGCUACAGCCACUGUAGCGGCACACAGGAGAGACCCUGCGCAGUGAGGAAUCGCAUCAAAUCCGGCGAGCCCUGGUGCGUGUGGCUCAGUUGUUGGAGCAUCAUCCCAUAACCAAAAGUUUGUGGGUUCGAAUCCUGGUCAGAGCAGAUGCCUAAGUUGCGGGUCCAGUCCCCGAUGUGGGCACAUCCUGGAGGCGACUGAUCAGGGCUUCUCUCUCGCCUCAGUGUUUCUCUGCCUUUCUCUCCAAACGCACUGAAAAAAUGUCCUUGGGUGAGGAGAGAAAAAAAAAAAAAAAGUCAGUGAAAAACGGGCUCUCCAAGCUCCUGUCCUCAGUAUGUUGGAGUCUUUAUGUUUCGGCGCUUCAGCCACACUCUCCUCCUCUAGUUUCCUUUGACCUUGGUUAAUUUGUCCAUGAUGUGCUUUCUCUGAAGAGGAAUAUUCGCUAUUCCUCUUCACCGUAUUGACUGCCCAUCAUGCACUUUUCCUGAAGGAAGUCUUCCCUGAUUGUCCCAACGCCACCAUAGGUCAGGUCCCUUUGACUGUGACCUUAGAGCUUCAGUGUUGUUCCUUCAAAAUUGUGAUCACAGUAGUAAUACAUUUAUUUGUCUGAUAGUAUGUGUUUGUCUCUGUCCUCUGCUAGAGCGUAAGAUUCGCAACAACAGGACUUUGUUGUUUUGCUCACAAGCUCAUACCCCCAUCAAGGGUACAAGAUCUAGCACAUGGUAGGUACCUAGUAAAUGUAUGAAUGAAUAAAUGCUAGAGCCAGUUUCAUCCACUUCAUAGGAAAUCCUUGCUUUGUUAUCAUUGCAAGUACGGGAUAUGUUUGACAGCAAAUAAUGAAAAACCUAAUGCACAGUGGCUUAAAUAAGUAGGUUUUGUUUUCUAUAACUCAUGACAAUUUUCAAGCAUGCAAAGUACUUGACAAAUACAGUGAUCACUUGUGCCAACCACCUAGUAUGUACUGUUGACAUUUUACUGUACUUGCUUUACUUACCUACCCAUGUAGUAAUUUUUUUUUUUUGAGGUGCAGGCAUUAGUACAUUUUACCGUAAAUACUUCAGCAUGUCUGCUUAAGAUUCCUGUUCAGGUAAAAUUUAAAUUCAAUAAAACGCCCAAAUCUCAACUGUAUUAUUCAAUGUGUUUUGACACAUGCGAACACUUGUAUAACACAACCCCUACUGAGAUACAGACACCAGCACAGAAAUUUCCUUCACACCCCUUUCAUUUUAUCCUCACCCUUAACCCACCCCCCCCUGGAGGCAAACACUGAUCUUUUUCUACUGUAGCAUAGUUUUGUCCUGGAACUGAAUUAAAUGAAAUUGUACAGUAUGUGCUCUUCUGUGUAAGACUUUACUAAGCAUGUUUUUGAGAUUCGUCCAUUUUGUUAUGUGAAUCAAUAAUUUGUUUCUUUUAAAAGCUGUUUAGUAUUCCAUUAAAUUAAUAUACCACAUUUUGCUUAUCUAUUUAUCUGUUUGAUAGACGUUUGUGUGUGUUUUUCCCAGAUUAUGG